UACGGGGGGGAGCAAGCGUUGUUCGGAUUUACUGGGCGUAAAGGGCGCGUAGGCGGCGCAACAAGUCACUUGUGAAAUCUCCGGGCUUAACCCGGAGCGGUCAAGUGAUACUGUCGUGCUAGAGUGCGGAAGGGGCUACUGGAAUUCUCGGUGUAGCGGUGAAAUGCGUAGAUAGUCCGGAGGAACACCGGUGGCGAAGGCGGGUCUCUGGGCAGUAACUGGACGCUGAGGAGCGAAAGCGUGGGGAGCGAACAGG
rnacentral:rRNA from 1 species